rnacentral:rRNA from 1 species
UGGGGAAUUUUGGACAAUGGGCGAAAGCCUGAUCCAGCAAUGCCGCGUGUGUGAAGAAGGCCUUCGGGUUGUAAAGCACUUUUGUCCGGAAAGAAAUCCUUGGCUCUAAUACAGUCGGGGGAUGACGGUACCGGAAGAAUAAGCACCGGCUAACUACGUGCCAGCAGCCGCGGUAAUACGUAGGGUGCAAGCGUUAAUCGGAAUUACUGGGCGUAAAGCGUGCGCAGGCGGUUUGCUAAGACCGAUGUGAAAAUCCCCGGGCUCAACCUGGGAACUGCAUUGGUGACUGGCAGGCUAGAGUAUGGCAGAGGGGGGUAGAAUUCCACGUGUAGCAGUGAAAUGCGUAGAGAUGUGGAGGAAUACCGAUGGCGAAAGGCAGCCCCCUGGGCCAAAUACUGACGCUCAUGCACGAAAAGCGUGGGGAGCAAAACAGGAUUAGAUACCCUGGUAGUCCACGCCCUAAAACGAUGUCAACUAGUUGUUGGGGAUUCAUUUCCUUAGUAACGUAGCUAACGCGUGAAGUUGACCGCCUGGGGAGUACGGUCGCAAAGAUUAAAAACUUAAAUGAAUUGACGGGGUCAUAGCUGUUUCCU